GACGAACGCUGGCGGCGUGCCUAAUACAUGCAAGUAGAACGCUGAAGGAGGAGCUUGCUUCUCUGGAUGAGUUGCGAACGGGUGAGUAACGCGUAGGUAACCUGCCUGGUAGCGGGGGAUAACUAUUGGAAACGAUAGCUAAUACCGCAUAAGAGUAGAUGUCGCAUGACAUUUGCUUAAAAGGUGCAAUUGCAUCGCUACCAGAUGGACCUGCGUUGUAUUAGCUAGUUGGUGAGGUAACGGCUCACCAAGGCAACGAUACAUAGCCGACCUGGGAGGGUGAUCGGCCACACUGGGACUGAGACACGGCCCAGACUCCUACGGGAGGCAGCAGUAGGGAAUCUUCGGCAAUGGACGGAAGUCUGACCGAGCAACGCCGCGUGAGUGAAGAAGGUUUUCGGAUCGUAAAGCUCUGUUGUAAGAGAAGAACGAGUGUGAGAGUGGAAAGUUCACACUGUGACGGUAGCUAACCAGAAAGGGACGGCUAACUACGUG
rnacentral:rRNA from 1 species